AGCACGGGAGACAGAGCACCGGGUGCUAACGUCCGGACUCAAGAGGGAAACAACCCAGACCGCCGGCUAAGGUCCCUAAUAUUGACUAAGUGGAAAACGAAGUGGAAAGGCUAAGACAGUCAGGAAGUUGGCUUAGAAGCAGCCAUCCUUCAAAGAAAGCGUAAUAGCUCACUGAUCGAGUCUUUCUGCGCGGAAGAUGUAACGGGGCUAAGUCAAUAACCGAAGCCGCGGAUUCACACUUGUGUGUGAGUGGUAGGGGAGCGUUCUGUAAGCCUGCGAAGGUGACUCGUAAGGGUUGCUGGAGGUAUCAGAAGUGCGAAUGCUGACAUGAGUAACGUUAAAGCGGGUGAAAAGCCCGCUCGCCGUAAGCCCAAGGUUUCCUGCUCUACGUUCAUCGGAGCAGGGUGAGUCGGCCCCUAAGGUGAGGCUGAGAAGCGUAACUGAUGGGAACAAGGUUAAUAUUCCUUGACCACCGCUGAAUGCGAAGGGGGGACGGAGUAUUGAAGAUCAUCCGGGUGUUGGAUAUCCCGGUUUGCGAGCGUAGGAGGCUGACAGGCAAAUCCGUCAGCGAAUCUCCGAGGCAAAGCAUCGAGCUCUCUUUUGAGCGAAGUGAUUGGAUGUGCUUCCAGGAAAAGCCUCUAAGCUCCAGUUCAGCGGGACCGUACCGCAAACCGACACUGGUGGGCGAGCUGAAUAUGCUCAGGCGCUUGAGAGAACUCAGGAGAAGGAACUCGGCAAAUUGACACCGUAACUUCGGGAUAAGGUGUGCCUUUGUAGCGUGGAGGGAGAAACACCCCGAGCGCGAAGAGGUCUCAGAUAAUCGGUGGCUGCGACUGUUUAUUAAAAACACAGCACUCUGCAAAGACGAAAGUCGACGUAUAGGGUGUGAUGCCUGCCCGGUGCUGGAAGAUUAAUUGAUGGGGUGCAAGCUCCUGAUCGAAGUCCCAGUAAACGGCGGCCGUAACUAUAACGGUCCUAAGGUAGCGAAAUUCCUUGUCGGGCAAGUUCCGACCUGCACGAAUGGCAUAACGAUGGCCACACUGUCUCCUCCUGAGACUCAGUGAAGUUGAAGUGUUUGUGAUGAUGCAAUCUCCCCGCGGCUAGACGGAAAGACCCCAUGAACCUUUACUGUAGCUUUGCAUUGGACUUUGAACCGAUCUGUGUAGGAUAGGCGGGAGCCUGUGAAACCACAACGCCAGUUGUGGCGG
rnacentral:rRNA from 1 species